rnacentral:rRNA from 1 species
GAUGAACGCUAGCGGCAGACUUAAUACAUGCAAGUCGAGGGGUAGCAAGAUUGUAGCAAUACAAUUGUUGACGACCGGCAAACGGGUGCGGAACACGUACACAACCUUCCUACAAGUGGGGAAUAGCCCAGAGAAAUUUGGAUUAAUACCCCGUAACAUAGCGAUGUGGCAUCACAUUGCUAUUAUAGCUUCGGCGCUUGUUGAUGGGUGUGCGGCUGAUUAGAUAGUUGGCAGGGUAACGGCCCACCAAGUCUACGAUCAGUAGCUGAUGUGAGAGCAUGAUCAGCCACACGGGCACUGAGACACGGGCCCGACUCCUACGGGAGGCAGCAGUAAGGAAUAUGGGACAAUGGACGCAAGUCUGAUCCAGCCAUGCCGCGUGGAGGAUUAAGGUCCUCUGGAUUGUAAACUUCUUUUAUAAGGGACGAAAAAAGGUCUUUCUAGAUCGUCUGACGGUACCUCAUGAAUAAGCACCGGCUAACUCCGUGCCAGCCGCCGCCGUAACAC